AAAAAAAAAUGUCUAUGUAUGGAAACGAUGGAAUGUGCCGAGCAUCGGUCUUCUCAAUAAGAUUCCUGCAAUUAAGCAAUAAAAAAAUGAUUGUUUCUCGUGAGAGGUGUUAUUCACAUAGAAAGAUUUCAAAGAUUACCAACGUAACAUACUAUAUUAGCACGAGAAUACCAUAAAUGAUAUAAGUAACAAUUAAUAGACAAUUUUGAAACAUUAUCAUGCUCUUUGUUUCGGAUAGGGAAGCAGAUCCGUUUGGAUUGAAGAUAAAUUGAGA